rnacentral:rRNA from 1 species
GAUGAACGCUGACAGAAUGCUUAACACAUGCAAGUCCACUUGAACUUCGGUUUGGGUGGCGGACGGGUGAGUCACGCGUAAAGAACUUGCCUCACAGAUAGGGACAACAUUUGGAAACGAAUGCUAAUACCUGAUAUUAUGAUUAUAUGGCAUCGUAUAAUUAUGAAAGCUAUAUGCGCUGUGAGAGAGCUUUGCGUCCCAUUAGCUAGUUGGAGAGGUAACGGCUCACCAAGGCGAUGAUGGGUAGCCGGCCUGAGAGGGUGAUCGGCCACAAGGGGACUGAGACACGGCCCUUACUCCUACGGGAGGCAGCAGUGGGGAAUAUUGGACAAGGGACCAAGAGUCUGAUCCAGCAAUUCUGUGUGCACGAUGAAGUUUUUCGGAAUGUAAAGUGCUUUCAGUUGGGAAGAAAAAAAUGACGGUACCAACAGAAGAAGUGACGGCUAAAUACGUG